rnacentral:rRNA from 1 species
AGAGUUUGAUCCUGGCUCAGAGCGAACGCUGGCGGCAGGCCUAACACAUGCAAGUCGAACGAACUCUUCGGAGUUAGUGGCGGACGGGUGAGUAACACGUGGGAACGUGCCUUUAGGUUCGGAAUAGCUCCUGGAAACGGGUGGUAAUGCCGAAUGUGCCCUUCGGGGGAAAGAUUUAUCGCCUUUAGAGCGGCCCGCGUCUGAUUAGCUAGUUGGUGAGGUAAAGGCUCACCAAGGCUACGAUCAGUAGCUGGUCUGAGAGGAUGACCAGCCACAUUGGGACUGAGACACGGCCCAAACUCCUACGGGGGGCAGCAGUGGGGAAUCUUGCGCAAUGGGCGAAAGCCUGACGCAGCCAUGCCGCGUGGAUGAUGAAGGUCUUAGGAUUGUAAAAUCCUUUCACCGGUGAAGAUAA